rnacentral:rRNA from 1 species
AUGCUGGAGAAUUCAUUUCUAAUAGAUACUCGAAUGAAAAAAUUCGAUACCAUAGUCCCCGCUACUCUCCUCAUAGGAUACUUAUCAAAAGCUCAAUUUUGUACUAGAUCGGGGCAUCCUAUUAGUAAACCCAUUUGGACAGAUUUAUCAGAUUGGGAUAUUCUUGAUCGAUUUGGUCGGAUAUGUAGAAACUAUCUUGCUAGGUUCAGUUGUCAUAGCUGUUCGGAAUCCACAAACCAUCCCGACCGACGGUCAGAAUUUUUUUGA